CGGCAAGGGUGAUAACGUCUACGCGCUUCGCUUCAAGAUGUACCUUCAUCGUGAGGUGAUCCUCCUCCAUCAAUAUGCAGAACUACUUCGGUGCCUCCUCCACCGAGGGGUGGGGGAUGACGUCGACCCCAUCGACGGCGGCACCCGCCAUCUCCAACCCAAAGCCGGUUGGAUCAACCGCCAAGAUUGCCUCCUUUGAGCGUGUGGCUCCCCCUCCUCUUCUGAGGUCAGAGGAAGGUCAGUCGUAAUGCGGGGCAUGGGCCUGGCCUCCACGGUGCGACCUCUGGGCACGACGCUCCGACGUCAAAAGCUUGUAGUACGCGAUCUUCGUGCGCCCCAGGCUCAUGCGAGGAGGAUGGCUCGUAGGGGGAGUCUGGAUGGAACUGCACACGCACACUCAUGCAGUGGAGUGAGUCUCCGCAACAUCGGUAGGUGGCCAAACAUCUAGAGCAGGAGUAGAAAAAUCCAAAGGGAUCACGGGAUGAAUCUGAACAGACUUCACGGGCUAGAGCGGACAAACCUCUGUCACUAACAACCGGGAAUUUGACCUCUCACUGGCGAGAGGGAUUGUGC
rnacentral:lncRNA from 1 species